ACCAAAGGAAGAAAAGAAGAACAAGAACCCUAAGGUGAAAAUUCAAGAGAAAAAUUGGUGGAUUUCAAGUAAUCAAGCAAUCAAAGGUAAAAUUUCUUGAUUUUGACUUGUGAUCUACCUUUCCCAUGCAUUCUUUUGCAUUUUCCAUGGUUAAGAAUCAAGUUUUCAUGAUGAAUCCCUUGCUGGCCGAACAUCUAGGAGAGAGAAUUUGAUGAUGAUUUGGUUAGAUUUUAAUAUAUUUUGGUGUUUUUAGUUAAUUAGUGAUGUGUAGCAUGAAAAGCAAACAAGAAAAAUUCAUUUUCUCCCAUUACCCAUCAUUGGCCGAAUUUUCCUUGUAGAGUGUGGAUGGUGGAUUUGAUUUUAUUUCAAGUGAAUUGGUUAGGAAAUGAUGAAUUAUGGUGAGAAAAUCAAGUAGAAAAAAUCAUGGUGUUGAUGCACCCACCAUGGCCGAAAUUCUCAAGAGAAAACGUGGAGAUGAUUUUGCUAAAUUUUAUGCUAUUUGACUCGUGUUUGAGGAUUUGGAGAAUUGGAAGAAAAAUGGAGUUAAUUGGUGUUGAAUUGGACAUAUUGGCCAAUUAAUCAAGUGAUAGAUCGAAUUAGGCCAAUACUGUAUUAUUUAGGUACACAAUUGAAUUUGUGUAGAACACCGUGUGUAGACAAUAAUCCGAACAAUUUGCAUCCCAUUUCAUACAUUAGUAUAAAGCCUGAAUUGGUUUUAUAACAAUUUAGCACAAUGUAGUAAAUGGCUUAUUGUGCAUUAUGUCUAGGUGGUGAGCAUUCUGGAAAAAGUAAAGAGAUAGUAUUAGAGGAUCAAGAAUCGGAGUACUUGGAAUUCGACUCCCGAAAUAGUGAGUAACCUUACUAUCGUUUUAAUUAUCUAAAGUGGUUUUUAUCCGAUUUUGUGAUUUUAUGGAAAAUGAGUUUAAAUGGUAAAUCUUUAGGUUUUAUAAACAAAAUGUGUUUAAACGAAAUGAUUUUAUAAAUUAUCUUGAAAUUGAAUGAUGGCUUUGAAAAUAGAGUAAUUGAAGACCAUUUGAUGUAUUGUGAAUUUAUGUUUCUAAUUGAUUAGCUUAUGAUAAUAUUGGCAUGAAUGGUUGAAUUGGCAAAUGUGCUGAAAUUGUAUGAACUGUUUGUUUUGCCUUAACAGGCUGGGUAGUAAUAUAAAUUGCCAUGUCAUGCUGUCGAAACUUUUAUUGAUUUGGCGGGAUAUCGAUUAGCUUACUGCAGUGGGCGGGUUUCUGUGGACCAGCCUAUUAGAGGGGCACGGUAAACCCUAUUAUAUUUUACCUCGGUUGGAGAGACGAGUAGGGUAACUCUCGAGGUAUAACUUUUAGAGUUCACUUCACACCAAACCACCACGUGAGGGGGAACUCAGCCAACGCCAAGGAACGGCUAUGUUUUCAAAAUAAAAGCAUGAUUUAUGCAUACAUAACUUUUUAAUAGCCUUGGCAGACUCGGUUGGGAUAGCCCUCGAUCAAGGCAUCCCUGAUAACUGGGUAUGAGAAUGAUUUUGGCACGAGCCAAAGUUUUAAGAAAUUCAUAAGCCAUGUUCAUUACUCGAUUUAUAUGAAUUGAUUUUAUUUGGUUGAAAUGAGUUGAAAACUGAUAAAUUACAAUAUGAUGAUUUAUUUUAUCUGUCUCCAUUUACUCAACUUUAGAUAUUUUAGAUGGUAUUUGUUUACUCAUUGGGAUUAUAUAAUCUCACCACCCUCCUUUCCACCCAUUUCAGACUCACGAUAGUCUAUAGAUAGCUGAUUUCAUCGAGGACUACCAUUAGAUUUGCAUCCUCCAAACUGCAGGUUCACAGUUUUUCUUACUUUUGGUUAUUCGAGGGCCCACUUGUUACUGUAAAUUAAAUUAAAUACUCUGACUUACUAUAUUAUAGUAUAUAUGAAUUUAUUUUGCUUUUAUGCUACAAAAAUUUAUUUACGUAGUGUUCUAAAAAUAUGGUUUUAAGAGAAAAUUGAAUAUUUUAUUCUAUAUUUUUAUUUUAUUCUAAUAGUUAUAAUUUCAUUUUAAAUGAAUGUUUUAGACAUCCAAAUUUAUUUUUGAUAAUGAAAUAUGUGUUUUGUACUCGCCUACUACAUUUUUAGUUAGUUUCGAGAUUUUUGAGGAAAAAUGACCAAAAUACCCCUAUGAGAAAAUAAUUAUUUUUCUAUUGAUUUGAUUUGGAAAUAGUUUAUAAUCUCUCAAAACGUGAUACUUAACAAUUGUUGCUCACAAGAGAGGUGCGAAAACUGAUAUUAAAGCCUUGCGAGGUUUCGGUUGGCAUUCCGGGUAGUGAAUGUCUAUCGGGACGUCACGGCGGUUGUCACGGGUUCGAGGGGAGUACCGAGUCGUGACAUUGCAUGAUUAACAAAUGGGUCCACUAAUGGUAUUGUUUCCCAUUAUAUGCCAUCAGGUCAGGGUACUUUGACUGUGCAAGUCAUCAAAAGUGAUCUCAGACAAGGAUGAGGUCUCAAUUAAAUGGAAAAAAACCCCAAUACAACAAGAUUCACAUAGUUACAACGAUCGAGUUAUUCCUUCUAUGCAGUUGCUGAUCGGUACAAAGCACCAAAACUUGAAAGCAAAUGCCAUAGAAGGCCUUCGAAAAGUUUUGCUUAGAGAUUUUUGUAAAUAGUAUGGACAGUUAAUUUUUUAAAUUUGUUUAUUCUUUUUCCUAAUAAGUAAGGUAACAUUGUUGUGUAUUAUCUCUAAAUUAGUCUUUAUUGUAGUAGUUAACAGAGAAAAAGAUGAUAAGAAUAAUUUGAGAUUAUUUCCUCAUAUGAUUUCACACUAACAAUGUACUGUCAAUAAUGUUUGUAUACAGAGAAUUGAAUAAAAUAUAUCUUAUG
rnacentral:lncRNA from 1 species